rnacentral:tRNA from 1 species
GGCCUGGUGGUGAAGUGGAAACACUGGAGUCUGCAAAACUCUUAUGCGGGGGUUCGAUUCCCCCCCAGGCCUCAA